rnacentral:misc_RNA from 1 species
GAUAGUAUUUCUAAGUCUUGUAUUCAGCUGCUUCAUAUAAAAUGAGAAGUUACAUAGAUUUACAUAAACCCAAAAUGGUAACAAUAUGAGAUAAACCAGAUUAAUAAUUCUCAGAGCAAAGAAACCACUCCUGACAUGAAAUGUGUUCCUAAUGCACUGACAGAUUUGUCCUCUGAUCGCACAAUAUUUUAGUAUGAAGCAGCUGAAUACAAGACUU